GAUGAACGCUGGCGGCGUGCCUAAUACAUGCAAGUCGAGCGAACAGACGAGGAGCUUGCUCCUCUGACGUUAGCGGCGGACGGGUGAGUAACACGUGGAUAACCUACCUAUAAGACUGGGAUAACUUCGGGAAACCGGAGCUAAUACCGGAUAAUAUAUUGAACCGCAUGGUUCAAUAGUGAAAGACGGUUUUGCUGUCACUUAUAGAUGGAUCCGCGCCGCAUUAGCUAGUUGGUAAGGUAACGGCUUACCAAGGCAACGAUGCGUAGCCGACCUGAGAGGGUAAUCGGCCACACUGGAACUGAGACACGGUCCAGACUCCUACGGGAGGCAGCAGUAGGGAAUCUUCCGCAAUGGGCGAAAGCCUGACGGAGCAACACCGCGUGAGUGAUGAAGGUCUUCGGAUCGUAAAACUCUGUUAUUAGGGAAGAACAAAUGUGUAAGUAGCUAUGCACGUCUUGACGGUACCUAAACAGAAAGCCACGGCUAACUACGUG
rnacentral:rRNA from 1 species